rnacentral:lncRNA from 1 species
CUCAAUGCCUGGCUGCAGCAGUAACUGUGAGGAUUUGGUGCUAUGUGCAGGGAGCCACUGGUGAGGUUAUCGGUGCUGUUUGGGUUUACCUGACCACCACCAUCUGUCCCUGCAGCAGAGGAGAUCUUGGAGCCUGCCCUACCAUAAGCCAAUGCUAGUUAAACAUUAUGAACUUUGAAGAUAUGAUAUCUCUAUUAAUAAUCUAAACUAAUUUUUAGUCAAGGAAUAGAAAAACAUGGAGAAGAAAACUAAUGCUUUGCAAUGAACACUAUGAGGAGGACAAGAAAAAAGAAUAAAAAGAUCAACAAAGUAAAUGAGAACAAAAGGGAUCUAAUCCCAAAUUAAAAACCCCCUGUGUACCCCAUGCUGACAGCCUCUCUCUCAAACUGCCAGGAUAACCAGGACGCCCUAACCCUGAAGCCAACGUGGAUUUGCUUGACAUGG